rnacentral:misc_RNA from 1 species
AAGUCGUAACAAGGUUUCCGUAGGUGAACCUGCGGAAGGAUCAUCAAUGAAUUCCAAUAUUCAACCUGGCUUUGGUGACCUUUUGGACAUGUGCUGGAAGGUUGUCACUGCCUAUCAACCACCAGUCUCUGUCUUUUCGCGAAGGUGUCUUUUGUUAAGCAAGAGCCCUUUUUGCAAUAGACUUUGACUUUUUUUUGAGAUUGGCAGGUUCGCUUGUGGUUUUUGGGCUUGGUUUGACCAGCCUUGGCAACUUGCAACCUCUAAUCUCGUCAUUGUGGGCAACACAAAUUUGAAAUUAAAAUACAACUUUUAACGAUGGAUCUCUUGGCUCCC